rnacentral:lncRNA from 1 species
GAGGCAAUCAAAAGGGUCCGACACCCGAUACCUACGGUUGAUGACGUAAGAUUUGAACUGAACGGCGCGAAAUAUUUCUCGAAAUUGGACUUAUCCCAGGCGUACCAUCCACUCGAACUCGAUCCGAAAAGCCGACAUAUCACCACAUUUAGUACACACAUCGGGCUAUAUCGCUAUAAACGUUUAAAUUAUGGGACAAACGCUGCCGCCGAGAUUUUCCAAUACACGCUUCAGACACAAUUACAAGGACUCAUCGGAGUCAAGAACAUAGCCGACGAUAUUAUCGUUUAUGGAAGUACUCGCAAGGAACACGAUGAAAAUCUAGACAAGUGCCUACAACGUCUAACAACCCGAGGAUUGACCCUCAACGCCAGUAAAUGUAAAUUAUUGAAUCCCACAUUGGAAUUUUUCGGUCAAAUCUUCUCUGCCGAUGGCACGCGACCCGACCCUCAACGAGUCGUCGACGUCCAGAAUGUGGCCACACCCACCACUGUCCAAGAAGUUCGAAGCCUUCUUGGUAUGGCGAACUACAUCAGUCAAUACACCCUUAACUUUUCAACAAUCACUUCCCCCCUCCGUCUCUUAACGAAACACGACACACCAUUUGUGUGGACCACGGUACAUAAAAACGCGUUCGACAACCUAAAAGCCGCUCUAACGUCAGCCCCAUGCAUGGCGUAUUUCGACGUCCAUAAAGAAACCUUUGUUGUCGUCGACGCGAGCCCUGUCGGGGUAUCGGCUAUCCUCUCACAAAAAUCGCCAAACGUCGCAAAUUCCAAAGUCAUUGCUUACGCCAGUCGUGCCUUAUCGCCCGUCGAAACACGUUACUCCCAAACCGAACGAGAAGCCCUCGCUAUCGUCUGGGCUGUCGAACAUUUCCACAUGUUCCUGUUUGGACAUCAUUUUACGUUGGUAACCGACCACAAACCCCUUGAAGUCAUUUACGGCACCACCAGGUCGAAACCGUCUGCACGUAUAGAACGUUGGGUUCUGCGAUUACAACCGUACCACUUUAACGUCAUCUACAAACCUGGUGCCACCAACCCCGCUGAUUAUUUAUCACGUCAUCCUGCAUCACCACGCAUGUCACACCCGGAUCGCAUGGCUGAAGAAUGCGUCAACUUCAUUGAACGACACACUGCCCCCCACGCCAUGCCACUCGACGAAAUUGCCACAGCUACACGUGCAGAUAAGACUCUGUCCACGCUCGUGACUUGUUUACGUACAAACAAGUGGUCCACCGACAUUCUGACGUCAUUCAAACACAUCAAAGACGAAUUGACAGUCACCAACAACGGCAUUAUCCUGCGUGGACAUCGAAUUGUCAUACCCCAAGCUUUACAACAACGCGCGAUCGACAUCGCCCACGAGACGCACCUUGGUCUAACCAAAACUAAAGCAUUAAUUCGCGAAAAAAUCUGGUUCCCGAAUAUCGACGCCAUGGUUAAAACAACUCUUGAUCGCUGUUUAACUUGCCAAGCCCUUGGCCGACCCGGCCCACCAGCACCAAUCACCCCCACCACCAUGCCUGAUGGACCUUGGCAAACUGUUCAUGUCGACUUCUAUGGUCCUCUACCCACUGGAGAAUACCUUCUUGUCGUUGUAGAUAGAUAUUCUCGGUUUCCCGAGGUCGAAAUUGUCCACUCCACGAGAGCCUCUACUGUGAUACCAAAACUCGACAAGAUCUUUGCCGUUCAUGGCAUUCCUACCCUUCUCAAAAGCGACAAUGGUCCCCCUUUCAAUGGCGAAGAAUACCAACGCUAUCUCACUGCCCUUGGAAUAAAGGCAAUCUUCUCUACUCCCAAAUGGCCCCAAGGCAACGCUGAGGUAGAACGCUUCAUGCAACCCUUGGGCAAAUCCCUGAAAGCUGCUAAACUUGACGGUCGUCCAUGGAAACAAGAGCUAAGUCGUUUCCUGUUGCACUAUCGCACCACACCGCAUUGUACCACUGGUGUUCCACCCUCUGAACUGUUAUUUAAUCGCCAAGUUCAAGGAAAACUUCCUAUUUUGCAAAAACGCAAUCUCGUUAACCGUCACAACGAGGCUCGGGAAAAGGAAGGUGAAAGACAACAAUAUAACAAACGUUACGCUGAUGAAAAGAGAAACGUUAGAGAAAGCCCAAUAAAAGUUGGCGACUACGUUUUGUGGAAGCAAGAGAGACGGAACAAACUCACCCCUAAUUUCAAUGAAAAAAGAAAAGGACUGAACGAUACAGAGUUGACACUAGUAACCCUGAGCCAAGACGAUCGACAAGGAAUGUCAGGCAACCAGAACGAUAUGGCGAGGGAAUUCCCUCGUCGGUAAUUAGAUAAAAAAAAGGGGAGUGAUAUAGUAAUGACGUCAUGUCAUUCACUCGGCACCAGGACUAUACGGUCGGAACUAAUUAAAUAUAGAUAGAUAGGACACGUUGUGUAGAAGGAACACACACUAAGACAUCAAUUAGAACUGUAUCGUUAUGUUAUGCUAAAUAUAUUCUAUAGCACAAAUAUAUACCUAGUACUUAGAUAUUACACCGGUGGUAUAAGGAAGGCGUC